ensembl:lncRNA
AUGAUUUUGAUUGAUUCUCAUAGAGGUGAAUGGAAGGAAGUGCAUCAUCCAAGAUGGGUUCCUGAACCAGGGCCAACUUUGGGACUUGAAAGCAGUAGUCUUUUGGGUGUAUUUGCUGCCUCCUCACCCCAGUUCUCCCAGGCCUCCCUGUAUGUGGAAAAAGGCGCAUCCCUGUUCUUGCUGCUUAACUUUGCUGGGAAAGGCAGCACCGACGACUGGGUGCUGCCCAGUUUUCGCCGCCCCUGGGUGCUUGCUUUGGUGUUGCCUAGCAGUUGGAUGAGACUGUUUUUACCAGAAAAUCCUGUUUUGUUCAUUCAUCAAGUUGGUUGCUAGUGCUUGAGCAAAGUAUGGGAGAGAAAAUGGAAAAUGGAGCUGAAAUUGAAAUACCAUGUGCUGAGCGUAUGUACAGUGCUUUCCCUCAUUACCAACUCUUGAUGUUGGGGUUACCUCAUUUACUCAAGAAGCUCAGAGAUGGAGAGUGGUCUCGACUCUUAACAGACUUGGGGCUCCCUUUGUAUAAAAAUAUAUUUUGUAAUGAUCCUUCACUAUCCUGAAGUGAAAUCCAUUCUCUCUGUUCACUAUUUAAAAAAGAAAAAAGCAAGGUGAAGCCUUAACUAUAAUAUAAAAAGGAGAGCAGUUUAUAAAAUAGAAUGUAUUUGUGUAUGUUGGGUAUGACUGCCAGAAGACAAGAAAUAAGUCAGAUGUUUGAACCUACUUGAAGUUGUUCCAUACUUGACCUGUAAGAAAAGAGUGAAGGCACAUGUAGAAAUCAGAAUAAAAGCUACAGCCAGGGAGUAAUGAGACCAUACUUCGUUGAGUAUGAUAGGAGAGGGAGAAAUAAGCUUAAUUGAAGUAGGGAUAACAUGUCAGACAAAUACAACAGAUCACUGAAUUGAAGAAGAAAGAUAGCACAGUAUUCUCACAAAUGAGUUGGGCCUUAAAACUAUAAUGUCAAAAAAAAAAAACUCACAAUGGGAUUUCCUGGUGGUCCAGUGGUUAAGACCCGUGCUUCACUGCAGGGCAACCUGGUCAUAUCCUGCAGGCCACAUGGCCAAAAAAAACUACAUGGGGUGAGGGGAGUGUAAUAAAUACAGUUCUGUCCCAUUAAGUUAGGAGGAUUUAAGUGAAUUAAUACAUGAAAGGUGCUCAAAACGUUCUGUCACUUUUAAACAAAGUAUGAGGUAGUAUAUAGGAUCACAAGGAGUUGGACGUGACAGUGGCUGAACGACCACAGUCCUUUGGUAGAAGGGGAAUGACAGUUAGGAAAAAUUGGCUAGUCCCGACUGCACAGGGUAAAGUACAAUUCUAGACAAUGUCUUUAUCCCAUUUAAUCAUUUUCUUUAAAUGGCUUUAUGCAGACACUUUUAAUACUUUCUACCUGUACUUGGUUCAGACCUGUGGGCAUAGGCAGUUCUUUGUGUGCCAGACAUCGCGUGUCUCUGUCCUCUUCACCUGAUGUCUGUGAUGCUCCCUGGCCAGUGUGACAACCAUAAAAAGGAAAAGAAAAGCUGCAGUUUCCCCAGCACCCACCAGGAGGCGGUACUGCCCUGUUGAGAAUACUGGGCCAGAUUUGCCUGGGCUCACACACUUGUUGAGUAGAAUUGUGUCUCCAUUGACUCCAGAGUCUCUUUUUUCCACUAUGAUAGUAACAAUAAAGGUAGUAAUAAAGACAAUAGAGUGAUAAUUAGUAUUCCUUAAACUCCUGCCAGCAUCUUGCUAAAUGUUUUACAUAUACCUAUUACUAGCUCACUUAAACCUCACCACUUGAGGGCAGUUUCUCAUCUUACAGAUGAAGAAAUCAAGGCUUAGGUCCAAGACCCAUGUUAAGUGUUUUGUGUAGAAGAGGUUGUACUUGAGCUAAGUAUUGAAGAAUGGGAUUGGGAUAGAAAGCUGGCUACAUAAAGAAAAAAGCCAUGUGUAUAAAAGCAAAGGCAGGAAACUUCAAGGUUUUAUUAUGGACUGACAGCUUUUAAGACCCUGUGAAUUUAUUCAGGGUUUAGAAUUGGAGAUUAGUAAAAAGUGAGAACUAGAGGAGAACUUAAGAGUUCAUCAGGGACUGGUGAUUUUCAAACUUGAAAACUAGCCAAACCUUUUUCUGGAAUGAAAUUGUAUAUUACAAAAUACAUAAGAAUUUAAAUGAUGUUGUAAGUUCUGGUAGAUAAAUUGAGUUACGAAGAUAGGAAAAAUAAUGUUUUGAUGAAUGCAGUCUUAAAUUGACUUCAGAGCCAAGUUUUUCCUGUUUUGGUUGUACAGAAAAGUGAAUACAUUUUUUAACAACUCAUUCUGCAAUGCCAGAAGUGACAGGAUGGAAAGUCUACCUCACAACAACCUAGAAACACAGAUUCACUUUAGCAUGUUAGUAAGUUUUAUGUUCUAAAAAAAACAAAAUCGUUAGACAUACAAGCAUAUAUUUUAAACACAGAUCAAAUGCUUGGGAGACUCCUGAGGCACCAUGUGAGUUCUUACGCUGCCCAGACCUUUACCCUGUAAAGCCUGAGGUAAAGGGACAGGGGAGUGAGUUGUUGAGACUCAUGGAGCCCAGCUAGGGCCAUCUCUGGGUGCUCAGCCUCCUGAGUCUCGGCUCAGUACUCCUGAGAGACUGAAAUCUGGUGUGGCCACAUACCACCGCCCUGGCUGUACAACCCCUCACCUGCCAAGGCCCUGGCUGCUUGCCCAUCUCCCUGGCAGAUAAAGCCUCAGACGGAGGGCAAACAGUACACGGCUCCAGGAGUCAGCGCAGGUCUGAUUGACCCAGCGGUUUCUGCCUGUGCCACAUCCCUUCCCUUGCUGUGGCCAGAUCCGGGCUCUUGAGCAACAGGCAGACACCUGUGAGCUUGAGAACGGUGUCGGCUCUUUCAAGGAGGGUUUUCCAGGCCACAGAGGGACUUGUCUGCCCUGUCCCCGUGGGCGGCUCAGAGCCUUGCCCCAUCGACCUCAGGCCCAGUAUCAGGGCGGGGCAGCGUCAUGGGGUGUGGUGCUGUGUUACCAGGGUGCAGACAUGUUGGCGACAGGUGGUGGCUCUGAAGCAUGGGAGAACAGGUGGGCUACUGACUCCCAGGAUUUAAAAAAUACCGUUUAUCAUCAUUUGCAGUCUUUUUUUCAGGGAAGCAUGAUAAACCACUAUUAGGAGGUAUUCUUCUAAUCACAGCAUUAUUCAUAUUAGUGUUUUUGUUUAAGAGAAUGCAUUCUCUUGCUCCUGAAGAGAAAAAUACCAUGAGCAAGCAAUAUGUUUAUACAGAAACAAAUGUUUUAAAAGUAAGUUCACACACUGAAACCUUUGGCUGGACACAGGCUGUUAUCAAAUAAUAAAUUAACCUGACCUUGACUCAGAGCAGGUCCUCCAGAAGCGGGUUCACAGAGUAUUGCUCUGCUGGGAACGGCUUCUCUGAGGCUCUGUGGUCAUGUCGCAGGAGAGGGGGAAGGUUCUGCUUUCUCCGGAGUUGCCGUGCUGACCUUGACCAUACUGUCGUGUAUUUGCGUGCCCGCUGCUGGCAUGUCACCGUGGCCCCUCGUGAUAGUGAAGCCUUUGACUCCUCUGGGAACUUGAGUCUCCACAGCUGAGCAGUGGGAGCCAGAACUGCUUCCCUUCCCGGCUUGUUGGGACAAAACCUGAGGUAACGCGUGCAAAGCUUCAACAACUCUGCCUGGCACAGAGGGAGCCCCGAAAGUUGCCAGGCUCAGCGUUUUUCACAUGAGCUCUACUCCAUCCUCUUUACUCACUUUUAAUUCAAAGGUAAUCCACCAUAAUGGCAGCACAUAAACAAGAAAGUGACCUAGUAGAUUUUGAAUUUUCAUAAGUUUUUUUCCAUCCUAUUUUAUUUAUUCUGUACGCUUGGAGUGGGAAGUGUCUUCAUUUGUUUGUGUUUGGUUCAGUCGCUCAGUCGUGUCCGACUCUGCCACCCCAUGGACUGCAGCACGCCAGGCCUCCCUGUCCAUCACCAGCUCCCGGAGCUUGCUCAAACUCAUGUCCAUCGAGUCGGUGAUGCCAUCCAACCAUCUCAUCCUCUGUUGUCCCCUUCUCCCGCCUUCAGUCUUUCCCAGCAUCAGGGUCAUUUCCAAUGAGUCAGUUCUUCACAUCAGGUGCCCAAAGUAUUGAGACUUUCAGCUUCAACAUCAGUCCUUCCAAUAUAUAUUCAAGACUGACUGCCUUUAGGAUUGACUGGUUGGAUCUCUUUGCAGUCCAAGGGACUCUGAAGAGUCUUCCAACAUCAUUUGUGUUUAGCGGGUGUUAGAGAGGUGAUAUCAUGGCCCCACUUUGCAAAUGAGGAAACUGAAACCAGAAAGAGGAAGUACUUUUCCCAAGGUCACGCAGAGUAGGAAGGUUAAGCCAGGUUUGAACUCCACAGCCUGAGUCCAAGCCCAGCACCCGUGUCAGGACCAGGAGGGACCUCAGAGGUGCCCUGCAUUGAGGUGCCCACCCGUGAGUCUCAGACACCUGCCCCCGAACCCCCGUGUUUACAGGGAGCCUGCGCCCAUGAUGUAUUUCCCUCAUGAUGACUUGAGGUACUUAAAACCUCCCCACUGAAGAUGAAUUCCUGUUUUGCAGCCUGUCCAGUGCUGGAGUCCUGGGAGAGGGCAGGUUGUGAGUAAACUCAGGGUUUUUGCUUUCCCAGGGAUACUGGGUUGGCAUUGUCCUUGGCUCUGCAAGCACAUAAGUACUCUCCUUCUGGGCAUCUCCUCCCUCCCCUUUAAAAUCUUUUGGCUGUGCAGUACAGCAUGUGGGAUCUUUGUUCCCUGACCAGCUGUCAAACCUGCAUCCCCUGCAUUGAAAACAUGGAGUCUUAACCACUGGACCCCCAGGGAAGUCGCUUCCCUAGCUUUUAAAAGGGUGCUUUUUAGUCUGUUUGCUUUCUUCUGGUCUUUCCUGUUUGCUAGCUGUCUUGGAGUUCCCAGCAAGUAUUUCCAUUGUGUUCUAAAAGAAACCAACUGCAGUGUUUUAAUGCCUAAGGUAACAAAUAUGCACUGUUUCAGCCGUUAAAAUUAUACAUUGAGGAGGAGGUCAAGUGGAUUGUGGGCAAAUCGUUCCCUAAAAUCUACCUGUAAUUUUAAAGAAUUCCAAAAAGAUAAAGACAGCAGCUCAAGAACCCUAAUUGUGUGGUGGUUGUGAGUGGUCACGUAUGAUGUGGGCCCUGCCCUGUGCUAGUCCAGGUGGCACACGGAUCUAUCUCCUGUGCCAACGUGGCAGUCAGACCUGGGGGCCCUGAGGGUCAGCUGGAGGAGAGAUGGACCUUCACCUCCUUGGUGUGCCCGUUGUAGGAGGGCAGACAGUGGGGCUGCAGGUGGCAUGCGCCUCGUGUGGCAGCCUGUGCCUUC